GCCGGUAUAGCUCAGCUGGUAGAGCAACUGACUUGUAAUCAGUAGGUCCCGGGUUCGACUCCUGGGGCCGGCACCA
rnacentral:tRNA from 1 species